AAACCGCAAAGAAUCUUAAAGUUGAAAUGACACGUCUAAUAUUACAACCUUUCCAAUAUGUAACGAGGGGAUGUCAAUGAACUUUGCUAUUUGUCAAAACACGCGCGAAACGACAUCCGAGCCGCGUAAGAUAAACUAAAAAUUUUGUUACGAAUGUUAUCGUGGGACGUGAAUGUGUAGCAACUAUACGAAUGUGUUGUUUUUUAAAAGUAAUUACACUUCAUUGUAAUUAUGAGAUGAGAAGAUUGUACUACGGUACGAGUGUCGACUUUUUCGAUCAUUGCGAUGUUCGUAUUAUCCAUCGUAAGACAGAAUCUAUGUUCCUCCUAUACAACAAACCCGUGGUAUUUAUUUGACUGGAAGCCAUUGAUGUCAUAAUACAAGUUGGGAACGACUUCGAACCAUACCUAUCAAGUAAAUUGAGUAAUAGUACAAAGCGCACGUACAAAAUUAGUCCAAUACAACCGAUAAUUUAAACACGGUAUCCCACUUUCGUUUUCAUAUUUAACACAUGCUGUAUAUUACGAUGAGGUCAUUGACCUAUUUCUGAAAAGCCACUACAGUUGCCAUUUCGUACGGCACGUUCACAAAUAAAUACACUAUAUAGUAAUUUAUUUCACUUUUAUUGAACAUUAAGAUAAGCUAGCUUUUGUUUAUUAAAAUAAAUAAUUUUGUUAUGCUGAGUCUUAGCUAA